rnacentral:rRNA from 1 species
CGAAGGGUGCAAGCGUUACUCGGAAUUACUGGGCGUAAAGCGUGCGUAGGUGGUUUGUUAAGUCUGAUGUGAAAGCCCUGGGCUCAACCUGGGAAUUGCAUUGGAUACUGGCAGGCUAGAGUGCGGUAGAGGAUGGCGGAAUUCCCGGUGUAGCAGUGAAAUGCGUAGAGAUCGGGAGGAACAUCUGUGGCGAAGGCGACUCUUUGGCCUGUAACUGACGCUGAGGCGCGAAAGCGUGGGGAGCAAACAGG